rnacentral:rRNA from 1 species
UACGAAGGGGGCUAGCGUUGUUCGGAAUUACUGGGCGUAAAGCGCACGUAGGCGGACAUUUAAGUCAGGGGUGAAAUCCCAGAGCUCAACUCUGGAACUGCCUUUGAUACGGGGUGUCUUGAGUAUGGAAGAGGUGAGUGGAAUUCCGAGUGUAGAGGUGAAAUUCGUAGAUAUUCGGAGGAACACCAGUGGCGAAGGCGGCUCACUGGUCCAUUACUGACGCUGAGGUGCGAAAGCGUGGGGAGCAAACAGG